GAAAUGCGAUAAGUAAUGUGAAUUGCAGAAUUCAGUGAAUCAUCGAAUCUUUGAACGCACCUUGCGCUCCUUGGUAUUCCUUGGAGCAUGCCUGUUUGAGUAUCAUGAAAUCUUCAAAGUAAAUCUUUUGUUAACUCAAUUGGUUUCUACUUUGGUAUUGGAGGUCUUUGCAGCUUCACACCUGCUCCUCUUUGUUCAUUAGCUGGAUCUCAGUGUUAUGCUUGGUUCCACUCGGCGUGAUAAGUUAUCUAUCGCUGAGGACACUGUAAAAGGUGGCCAAGGUAAAUGCAGAUGAACCGCUUCUAAUAGUCCAUUGGCUUGGACAAUACUUUUAUGAUCUGAUCUCAAAUCAGGUAGGACUACCCACUGAACUUAAGC
rnacentral:misc_RNA from 1 species